AUGAGAGCAAGGAGGAGCUGGCCUUUACGUGUUGCAGAGGAUACCACUUCUGAUGUGUGCACAGGCUACAAAUCCAUGCAUGUGGGCGUCGAGCUCGUCCAAGAGGCAAGGAUCUAUCACUUGCGCCCAGAGUUUAAUAGCCUCAAGCUGGCUGAUGGAGAGCCUGAGAAUGACUUUGCUGCGAAAUUCACGAUGCUUGUGGGGCAUAUGCAUGAGCUUGGAAACACGAUGGAGGAGAAAUAUGUUGUGAAGAAGUUGCGAGCUGUCUCCAACAAAUUCAUCCAUUUUGCUUCAUCAAUUGCGCUAUUUAGUGAUGUCAACAAGAUGGCCAUGGAGGAUAUUGGGUCACUCGACUCAAGGCCUAUGAAGAGCUUAUCAAGGGGCUAA
rnacentral:rRNA from 1 species